UACAUGGGGUGCAAACGUUGCUCGGAAUUAUUGGGCGUAAAGCGCACGUAGGCGGUUCGUUAAGUCGGAUGUGAAAGCCCUCGGCUCAACUGAGGAAGUGCACCCGAAACUGGCGAGCUUGAGUACGAAAGAGGAUCGCGGAAUUCCCGGUGUAGGAGGUAGAAAUUCGUAGAUAGUCGGGAGGAACACCGGCGGCGAAGGCGGCGAUCGUGGGUCGAUACUGACGCUGAGGUGCGAAAGCGUGGGGAGCAAACAGG
rnacentral:rRNA from 1 species